GAUGAACGCUGGCGGCGUGCCUAACACAUGCAAGUCGAGCGAUCUUCUUCGGAAGAGAGCGGCGGACGGGUGAGUAACGCGUGGGUAACCUGCCCUGUACACACGGAUAACAUACCGAAAGGUAUGCUAAUACGAGAUAACAUACUUUUAUCGCAUGGUAGAAGUAUCAAAGCUCCGGCGGUACAGGAUGGACCCGCGUCUGAUUAGCUAGUUGGUAAGGUAACGGCUUACCAAGGCGACGAUCAGUAGCCGACCUGAGAGGGUGAUCGGCCACAUUGGAACUGAGACACGGUCCAAACUCCUACGGGAGGCAGCAGUGGGGAAUAUUGCACAAUGGGCGAAAGCCUGAUGCAGCAACGCCGCGUGAGCGAUGAAGGCCUUCGGGUCGUAAAGCUCUGUCCUCAGGGAAGAUAAUGACGGUACUUGAGGAGGAAGCCCCGGCUAACUACGUGCCAGCCGCCGCCGUAA
rnacentral:rRNA from 1 species